UACGAAGGGUGCAAACGUUGCUCGGAAUCAUUGGGCGUAAAGCGCACGUAGGCGGCCCUGCAAGUCGGAUGUGAAAUCCCACGGCUCAACCGUGGACGUGCAUUCGAAACUGCUUGGCUCGAGUAUGGAAGAGGGUCGCGGAAUUCCCGGUGUAGAGGUGAAAUUCGUAGAUAUCGGGAGGAACACCAGUGGCGAAGGCGGCGACCUGGGCCAAUACUGACGCUGAGGUGCGAAAGCGUGGGGAGCAAACAGG
rnacentral:rRNA from 1 species